AGGCGGGCUGGAAUCUCUCGGGGUUACAGCCUUGCUGAAUUAUUCACCCUUGUCUUUUGCGUACUUCUUGUUUCCUUGGUGGGUUCGCCCACCACUAGGACAAACAUAAACCUUUUGUAAUUGCAAUCAGCGUCAGUAACAAAUUAAUAAUUACAACUUUCAACAACGGAUCUCUUGGUUCUGGCAUCGAUGAAGAACGCAGCGAAAUGCGAUAAGUAGUGUGAAUUGCAGAAUUCAGUGAAUCAUCGAAUCUUUGAACGCACAUUGCGCCCUUUGGUAUUCCAAAGGGCAUGCCUGUUCGAGCGUCAUUUGUACCCUCAAGCUUUGCUUGGUGUUGGGCGUCUUGUCUCUAGCUUUGCUGGAGACUCGCCUUAAAGUAAUUGGCAGCCGGCCUACUGGUUUCGGAGCGCAGCACAAGUCGCACUCUCUAUCAGCAAAGGUCUAGCAUCCAUUAAGCCUUUUUUCAACUUUUGACCUCGGAUCAGGUAGGGAUACCCGCUGAACUUAAGCAUAUCAAUAAGCGGAGGAAAA
rnacentral:rRNA from 1 species